GAGGACUUAGCUUAAGUGAAAGUGUCUGGUUUGCAUCCAGGAGAUGUGAGGUAGCUCUUGCAGUCCUUA
rnacentral:tRNA from 1 species